CACUCCGGUGGUCUAGCGGUUAGAGCGUCCGCCUCGGAUGCGGGAGGUCGUGGGUUCAAUCCAAGGUCGAGUCA